rnacentral:rRNA from 1 species
CUUGCUACCUGACCUAGCGGCGGACGGGUGAGUAAUGCUUAGGAAUCUGCCUAUUAGUGGGGGACAACAUUCCGAAAGGAAUGCUAAUACCGCAUACGCCCUACGGGGGAAAGCAGGGGAUCACUUGUGACCUUGCGUUAAUAGAUGAGCCUAAGUCGGAUUAGCUAGUUGGUGGGGUAAAGGCCUACCAAGGCGACGAUCUGUAGCGGGUCUGAGAGGAUGAUCCGCCACACUGGGACUGAGACACGGCCCAGACUCCUACGGGAGGCAGCAGUGGGGAAUAUUGGACAAUGGGGGGAACCCUGAUCCAGCCAUGCCGCGUGUGUGAAGAAGGCCUUAUGGUUGUAAAGCACUUUAAGCGAGGAGGAGGCUCUCUUGGUUAAUACCCAAGAUGAGUGGACGUUACUCGCAGAAUAAGCACCGGCUAACUCUGUGCCAGCAGCCGCGGUAAUACAGGGGGUGCGAGCGUUAAUCGGAUUUACUGGGCGUAAAGCGUGCGUAGGCGGCUUUUUAAGUCGGAUGUGAAAUCCCCGAGCUUAACUUGGGAAUUGCAUUCGAUACUGGGAAGCUAGAGUAUGGGAGAGGAUGGUAGAAUUCCAGGUGUAGCGGUGAAAUGCGUAGAGAUCUGGAAGAAUACCGAUGGCGAAGGCAGCCAUCUGGCCUAAUACUGACGCUGAGGUACGAAAGCAUGGGGAGCAAACAGGAUUAGAUACCCUGGUAGUCCAUGCCGUAAACGAUGUCUACUAGCCGUUGGGGCCUUUGAGGCUUUAGUGGCGCAGCUAACGCGAUAAGUAGACCGCCUGGGGAGUACGGUCGCAAGACUAAAACUCAAAUGAAUUGACGGGGGCCCGCACAAGCGGUGGAGCAUGUGGUUUAAUUCGAUGCAACGCGAAGAACCUUACCUGGUCUUGACAUAGUAAGAACUUUCCAGAGAUGGAUUGGUGCCUUCGGGAACUUACAUACAGGUGCUGCAUGGCUGUCGUCAGCUCGUGUCGUGAGAUGUUGGGUUAAGUCCCGCAACGAGCGCAACCCUUUUCCUUAUUUGCCAGCACUUCGGGUGGGAACUUUAAGGAUACUGCCAGUGACAAACUGGAGGAAGGCGGGGACGACGUCAAGUCAUCAUGGCCCUUACGACCAGGGCUACACACGUGCUACAAUGGUCGGUACAAAGGGUUGCUACCUAGCGAUAGGAUGCUAAUCUCAAAAAGCCGAUCGUAGUCCGGAUUGGAGUCUGCAACUCGACUCCAUGAAGUCG